CGAAAAAUGUUUCUGGGUGGCAGCCUUUUGGGCCAAAACAGUGCUACCACACCAGUGUUGCUCUAGGGAGCAAGAACUAAAUAUAAUUAAAGAAGCAGAUAAAAAUAAUAACACGAAAAGAAACGAAGAAACAGCAGUGCGCAAAUGUAAAAUGCCGCUGUGAUAAUAAAUCUGGACGACGCAGCGGCAGCCGCGACCCAUAAGCUAAAUCCCCACAACAACACAACGUUGGCGGCGGCGUCGAGAACGCGACUCCUAACGCGCGUGUGUGUAUAUUUUUUUGUUGUCAGUUCGCCAAUCUCUGAAUGUGUGCGUGUGUGUGUGUAUAUACAUGUACAUAAUUAAUACAUACAUACGAUACCACACCACCAUACACACAUAUGCAAAUGUUUGCGUGUGUUAUCAAUAGAAAAAAGCGACAGUAGCUAAAACAUUUGGAUGUUGUGGAGCCAGCAGCAAAUCAAGCAUACAUUUUACACGCAGCUCCCUUAGGAUAAUUAAAGUUGCACGUAGCAAAA